CCGAGUGCGGGCCCUCGCGGCCCAACCUCCCACCCUUGUCUCUCACCACCUGUUGCUUUGGCGGGCCCACCGGGGCCCCCUGGUCGCCGGGGGACGUCGUCCCCGGGCCCGCGCCCGCCGAAGCGCCCUGUGAACCCUGAUGAAGAUGGGCUGUCUGAGUACGAUGAAAAUAGUCA
rnacentral:misc_RNA from 1 species